GGGGAAUUUUCCGCAAUGGGCGCAAGCCUGACGGAGCAAUACCGCGUGAGGGAGGAAGGCUUUUGGGUUGUAAACCUCUUUUCUCAAGGAAGAAGAAAGUGACGGUACUUGAGGAAGAAGCAUCGGCUAACUCCGUGCCAGCAGCCGCGGUAAUACGGAGGAUGCAAGCGUUAUCCGGAAUUAUUGGGCGUAAAGCGUCCGUAGGUGGCUAGUCAAGUCUGCUGUCAAAGACUAGAGCUCAACUCUAGAAAGGCGGUGGAAACUGAAGAGCUAGAGACCGGUAGGGGUAGAGGGAAUUCCCAGUGUAGCAGUGAAAUGCGUAGAGAUUGGGAAGAACACCAGUGGCGAAGGCGCUCUACUGGGCCGGAACUGACACUGAGGGACGAAAGCUAGGGGAGCGAAAGGGAUUAGAUACCCCUGUAGUC
rnacentral:rRNA from 1 species